rnacentral:rRNA from 1 species
UCGAACGCGAAAGCUUCCUUCGGGGGGCAAGUAGAGUGGCGUCCGGGUGAGUAACACGUAGGUAAUCUACCUUUGGGUGGGGAAUAACAACCGGAAACGGUUGCUAAUACCGCAUAAUGCAGCGGCACCGCAUGGUGACAGUUGUUAAAGCGGGGGAUCGCAAGACCUCGCGCCUAAAGAGGAGCCUGUGGCGGAUUAGCUAGUUGGCAGGGUAAUGGCCUACCAAGGCAACGAUCCGUAGCCGGCCUGAGAGGGCGGUCGGCCACACUGACACUGAAAUACGGGUCAGACUCCUACGGGAGGCAGCAGUCGGGAAUUUUGGGCAAUGGGCGAAAGCCUGACCCAGCAACGCCGCGUGAAGGAUGAAAUCCCUCGGGAUGUAAACUUCGCAAGAAUGGGAAGAAUAAGUAGGGGCUAAUACCCACUAUGAUGACGGUACCAUUUGUAAGCUCCGGCUAACUCCGUGCCAGCAGCCGCGGUAAUACGGGGGGAGCAAGCGUUGUUCGGAUUUACUGGGCGUAAAGGGCGCGUAGGCGGUCAGUGCAAGUCAGUUGUGAAAUCUCCGGGCUUAACUCGGAACGGUCAACUGAUACUGCUCGACUAGAGUGCGGAAGGGGCAACUGGAAUUCUUGGUGUAGCGGUGAAAUGCGUAGAUAUCAAGAGGAACACCUGCGGCGAAGGCGGGUUGCUGGGCCGACACUGACGCUGAAGCGCGAAAGCUAGGGGAGCGAACGGGAUUAGAUACCCCGGUAGUCCUAGCCUUAAACGAUGAAUGCUUGGUGUCUGGGGUUAUAAAG